rnacentral:rRNA from 1 species
GGAGUUUGGGCCGUGUCUCAGUCCCAAUGUGGCCGGUCGCCCUCUCAGGCCGGCUACGGAUCAUCGCUUUGGUGGGCCGUUACCCCGCCAACCGGCUAAUCCGACGCGGAGCCAUCCUUCACCACUGUGCGCUUUCCUCCCUGCGCCAUGCGGCGCUGUGAGCAUAUGCGGUAUUAACAGCCGUUUCCAGCUGUUAUCCCCCUGUGAAGGGCAGGUUCUCCACGCGUUCCUCACCCAUCCGCCGCUAAGAUACUCAUUAAGCAAGCUUAUCAAGUAUCUCCGCUCGACUUGCAUGUGUUAGGCACGCCGCCAGCGUUCAUC